rnacentral:tRNA from 1 species
UCUUUGGUAGUAUAGAGGUUAGUAUUCCCGCUUGUCAGUUAACUUUGUUCGCGGGCGACCGGGGUUCGAUUCCCCGCCAGAGAG